GGGCGGUUAGCUCAGUUGGUUAGAGCGCCACGUUGACAUCGUGGAGGUCACAAGUUCAAAUCUUGUACCGCCCA
rnacentral:tRNA from 2 species